AGCGAACGCUGGCGGCAGGCCUAACACAUGCAAGUCGAACGAACUCUUCGGAGUUAGUGGCGGACGGGUGAGUAACACGUGGGUACGUGCCUUUAGGUUCGGAAUAACUCCGGGAAACUUGUGCUAAUACCGAAUGUGCCUUUCGGGGGAAAGAUUUAUCGCCUUUAGAGCGGCCCGCGUCUGAUUAGGCAGUUGGUGAGGUAAAGGUUCAAGAAGCCUACGAUCAGUAGCUGGUCUGAGAGGAUGAACAGCCACAUUGGGACUGAGACACGGCCCAAACUCCUUCGAGAGCCAGCAGUGGGGAAGCUGGCGCAAUGGGCGAAAGCCUGACGCAGCCAUGACGCGUGAAUGAUGAAGGUCUUAGGAUUGUAAAAUUCUUUCACCGGGGACGAUAAUGACGGUACCCGGAGAAGAAGCCCCGGCUAACAUCGUGCCAGCCGCCGCAGUAA
rnacentral:rRNA from 1 species